rnacentral:tRNA from 1 species
UGUGGAGUGGCACAGUGGCAACUGCAUCAGACUGUAAAUCUGACAUCUUUGAUUUCCUAGGUUCGAGUCCUGGCUCCACAA